rnacentral:pre_miRNA from 1 species
GGGGGGAGCGCCGGAUCUUGGGCUGUGUCCCCGGCACCCUGGGCUCUGCGGCCUGAGCUGCUGGAAUCGUGCUCCCGGGGCCCCACAGCCCCCU